UAGCAUGCUGUUAGCAUUAAAGAAAACCCAAUCGGGGCGGGAGGGAAGCACUCCAGCCUUCUCUCAGCUUGGGGCGCCUCACUCUCUCCCCAGCCCCUUCUCCCAGCUGCCUGUGAGCCCCUCUCCCCUCCCGGCUUCUUGGCUCUGCUCUGCUUCUCCAGGCCUCUCUCUACCCACAUCCUGUCUCUUCCUCCUUGCCUCCCCUCUCUCCCUCAGCUUCCAGGUCUCUGCUGGUCCCCAGGGAGCACUUUGACCCCUGUUCCCCGCUCAAGUGCUGUGGAUCAAGCCUUCCCCUCCACCCACCAUCCCACCAAAGGGGCUGCUGGUCAAGAGGCCCCACCCAGCCAGCCAGAAUGAAGGCCACAGCCAUGGGACUCUGGACUGGGAAGGGCUGGUCAGGAGCCGAGGGUGGGCCCCUCCAGGCUCCUUGGGAGCUGGGGACAGGAGAGGGGUCCUUACUGCAGCAGGGUCUCCACCACGGCUUUCUGGUGGGCUGCCUCCUCCGGGCUGAGGUUCUCCAGCUCUUUGAGGAUUGGCGGCGUGAAGUCUUCCCCAUCGUCGUCCGUCUCGUCCUCGGAGCCCCUCGUCUCCCCGAGUCCGUUGGGAAGCUCGGCCAGCUCCCCUCGCCCACCACCGCCACAGGACUCCCCCUUGUCCAGGGGGCCAUCUCCGGCCAGCAGUCUACAUGGAGGAAGCUAAGUCCGAGAAUGCCUGCUUAUACAACUGGUCCCCAACACAGCUGGUCUCAACUACCUUGGUUUCAAAGAAUCCCAGCAACGGGUUACAUCUUGGGAAAAAAGUGGUUGGGGAGUUCGAGACCUGAGUGUACUGCCUUCUCCAGGGAGACCACUGUAAGACGAGGAAACUGAGGUUCAGAGAAGUCAUCAAGACUCCCGCCCAGGCCAGUGAAAGUAAGACCCCGCCUUGCUCCUCCUUGAGUCUUUUCGCCAUCCGGCCACACCUGUGUUUGUAUUCACUUUGUUUCCUCCCGUGGAGAAAACUCAGCUACCUCUUUCUUCCCAUGAUGGUCGCUUCAGGGGCCACGGAUGUUUUGGAAGGAGAAAGAGCUCAAGAGCCCUCUUGUGGACGUUCCAGGAAAAAAAAGAGUUGGAGACAAACACACUGCCUGUAAUGACUCCAGUGUUUUGUUUUUCUAAGUUCCCUUUUUAAGGAUUUCACCUGUGCCUAAAUAUCCUGGGGUAUGAUGGAGGUAUGUAGUAUCUUUCUAUGGUGACAGAUGGUAAGCCAACUUACGGUGAUCAUUUUGAAAUGUAUAGGAUUAUCAAAUCACUAUGUUGCAGAAUAGGAACUAACAUAGUGUUGUAGGUCAAUUAUACUUCACAAACAAGCAGACUUAUAGAAAAGAGAUCAUAUUUGUGGUUAUCAGAGGUGGGGGUAGCGGGAGGAAGAACUAGAUGAAGGCAUUUGAAAGAUACAAACUUCAGUUAUACUAGGGGUAUAAUGUACAACAUGUAAAUAUAUUUAACACUGCUGUAUGUUACAUAUGAAAGUUAAGAGAAUAAAUCCUAAGAGUUCUCAUGACAAGGAAAAAUAUUUUUUUCUAUUUAAUUUUAUAUUUGUAUGAGUUGAUGGGUAUUCACUAAACUUAUUGUGGGCAUCCUUUCAUGAUGUAUGUAAGUCAAGUCAUUAUGCUGUACGUCUUAAAUUUAUGUAGUGCUGUGUGUCAAUUUUAUCCCAGUAAAAAUGGAAGG